rnacentral:lncRNA from 1 species
UAUCACAUCCCUGCUCUGGGAGCUGUCAAGUUUGGAUUGGGAUCUCUCUCCAUUGUCUUUGAUGAUAAGUUAGUCAGGGAAGAAACUGUUCUUCACUAAAGGUAGGAUUCAUCUCCCUCAACCUUAACUUGUAGGAGCUGUCUGUGUCUGUCCAUAAUGAAUGGAGAAGGAAUGGCUUCAUCACCUGGAGAUUCCUCUUCUAAUCUAGAUGGGAUGACUUGCCACUGGAGGAGCAUGUACUUUGCUGUUCAUUUCAGAAGAAGUCCUGGCAGCAAGUCUCAGCCAUUGGCAGUAAUCGAUGUGCUUAAACCUUCAACAUUUAUCAGUUUGAAGCUCAAGUGCUUACAGUCACUAGUCAUGGGCCAGCCACACUGGAUACCUUUCAAAUGCAAGCAACUGAUGCUUCAAGCUAAUAAGUUGAUUCUCCCAGGCUAAGAAAAAUGGAUAAACACAAUUCCCUUUCACUGAUCUGAAAAUAUGUAGGAAGGCCCCUUCAGCACUCUCUCUCUGAAGAUGGUCUCAGCUUCUCCAGCCUCUCCUGAUAACGAAGAUUUUCACUGACUGUAACAUCCUCAUUUCUGUCCUACAGUGCACAUUCUACAUCCUUCUCUAUGUACAAUUCUGGUGCUGCAAUGACUGUAGCUAUAUACUGCUUUAGAAGGAGUUUGGUAAUUACAAUAAUGGUAUCAUUUGGGGAAGCUGAUAAUCAAUUCUCUGCUGUAGGAGGUUUUUACCUCUUUUUCUUUCAAGUUCUAAGAAUUGCAAUGACAGCUUGGUCCUGCUUCUAAUUUAUCCCUUAUUCCAUUUCACUCCUUUGUUUCUGAUGAA